rnacentral:tRNA from 2 species
GCCGGGGUGGCCGAGAGGUUAAGGCGGCGGGCCGCAGAGUUUAUUGCAGAUACCCGUUAUUUCGCGGGUUCAAGUCCCGCCCCCGGCU